rnacentral:rRNA from 1 species
CCUACGGGAGUCAGCAGUGGGGAAUAUUGCGCAAUGGGCGAAAGCCUGACGCAGCGACGCCGCGUGAGGGAUGAAGGUCUUCGGAUCGUAAACCUCUGUCAGCAGGGAAGAACGGUCACUGUGCUAAUCAGCAGUGAAUUGACGGUACCUGCAAAGGAAGCACCGGCUAACUCCGUGCCAGCAGCCGCGGUAAUACGGAGGGUGCGAGCGUUAAUCGGAAUUACUGGGCGUAAAGCGCUCGUAGGCGGUAUGUCAAGUCAAGGGUGAAAUCCCCGCGCUCAGCGUGGGAACUGCCUUUGAAACUGGCAAACUGGGGUGUGUGAGAGGAUAGUGGAAUUCCAGGUGUAGGAGUGAAAUCCGUAGAUAUCUGGAGGAACAGCAGUGGCGAAGGCGACUAUCUGGCACAUAACUGACGCUGAGGAGCGAAAGCGUGGGUAGCAAACAGGAUUAGAUACCCGUGUAGUC